rnacentral:rRNA from 1 species
GAUGAACGCUGGCGGCGUGCCUAAUACAUGCAAGUCGAGCGAACGGACGCGAAGCUUGCUUCUCUGAUGUUAGCGGCGGACGGGUGAGUAACACGUGGAUAACCUACCUAUAAGACUGGGAUAACUCCGGGAAACCGGAGCCAAUACCGGAUAAUAUUUUGAACCGCAUGGUUCAAAAGUGAAAGACGGUCUUGCUGUCACUUAUAGAUGGAUCCCCGCUGCAUUAGCUAGUUGGUAAGGUAACGGCUUACCAAGGCAACGAUGCAUAGCCGACCUGAGAGGGGGGUCGGCCGCACGGGAAGUGGGACAGGGUCCAGGCGCCUACGGGAGGGAGCAGUAGGGAAUCGGCCGCAGUGGGCGAGAGCCUGGCGGAGCGACGCCGCGUGAGUGGUGAAGGUGUUGGGAUCGUAAAGCUCUGUUAUUGGGGGAGAACAUAUGUGUACGUAGCUGUGGAGAUCGUGACGGUACCUGGUCAGAAAGCCACGGCUAACUACGUG